UAGGUAUGCUUAGGGAGGAGCUUGCGUCACAUUAGUUAGUUGGUGGGGUAAAGGCCUACCAAGACUAUGAUGUGUAGCCGGGCUGAGAGGUUGAACGGCCACAUUGGGACUGAGACACGGCCCAAACUCCUACGGGAGGCAGCAGUAGGGAAUUUUCGGCAAUGGAGGAAACUCUGACCGAGCAACGCCGCGUGAACGAUGAAGUAUUUCGGUACGUAAAGUUCUUUUAUUAGGGAAGAAUAAAUGAUGGAAAAAUCAUUCUGACGGUACCUAAUGAAUAAGCCCCGGCUAACUAUGUGCCAGCAGCCGCGGUAAUACAUAGGGGGCAAGCGUUAUCCGGAAUUAUUGGGCGUAAAGGGUGCGUAGGCGGUUAAAUAAGUUUAUGGUCUAAGUGCAAUGCUCAACAUUGUGAUGCUAUAAAAACUGUUUAGCUAGAGUAAGAUAGAGGCAAGUGGAAUUCCAUGUGUAGUGGUAAAAUGCGUAAAUAUAUGGAGGAACACCAGUAGCGAAGGCGGCUUGCUGGGUCUUUACUGACGCUGAGGCACGAAAGCGUGGGGAGCAAACAGGAUUAGAUACCCUGGUAGUCCACGCCGUAAACGAUGAGUACUAAACGUUGGGUAAAACCAGUGUUGAAGUUAACACAUUAAGUACUCCGCCUGAGUAGUACGUACGCAAGUAUGAAACUUAAAGGAAUUGACGGGACUCCGCACAAGCGGUGGAUCAUGUUGUUUAAUUCGAAGGUACCCGAAAAACCUUACCAGGUCUUGACAUGCUUCUGCAAAGCUGUAGAAACACAGUGGAGGUUAUCAGUUGCACAGGUGGUGCAUGGUUGUCGUCAGCUCGUGUCGUGAGAUGUUGGGUUAAGUCCCGCAACGAGCGCAACCCUUAUUGUUAGUUACCAGCACGUAAUGGUGGGGACUUUAGCAAGACUGCCAGUGAUAAAUUGGAGGAAGGUGGGGACGACGUCAAAUCAUCAUGCCCCUUAUGACCUGGGCUACAAACGUGAUACAAUGGCUGUUACAAAGGGUAGCUGAAGCGCAAGUUUUUGGCGAAUCUCAAAAAAACAGUCUCAGUUCGGAUUGAAGUCUGCAACUCGACUUCAUGAAGU
rnacentral:rRNA from 1 species